rnacentral:rRNA from 1 species
GACAGAGGGUGCAAACGUUGUUCGGAAUUACUGGGCGUAAAGCGUGUGUAGGCGGCUCUGCAGGUCAAAUGUGAAAUCCCUCGGCUCAACCAAGGAAGUGCAUUCGAAACCGCAGAGCUGGAGUGUCGGAGAGGAAGGCAGAAUUCUCGGUGUAGAGGUGAAAUUCGUAGAUAUCGAGAGGAAUACCUGCGGCGAAAGCGGCCUCUGGACGAACACUGACGCUGAGACACGAAAGCGUGGGGAGCAAACAGG